CGACAACAGCACGGACGGUGAGCCACCGUUUUUGACCCAGGACUUCAUCCACGCCUUUCAGCCGAACGCCAAACUGAUUGUCAUGCUCAGGGACCCUGUGGAGAGGUUGUACUCAGACUAUCUCUACUUUGCAAGUUCGAAUAAAUCCGCAGACGACUUCCAUGAGAAAGUGACAGAAGCACUGCAGCUGUUUGAAAAUUGCAUGCUUGAUUAUUCACUGCGCGCCUGCGUCUACAACAACACCCUCAACAACGCCAUGCCUGUGCGUAUCCCCUGAGCUGGCCCCUGGCAGAAGGAGCUGGUUUGUUGUUAUGCAAGUGGCAUUGUGGGUUUGGGUUUUAGCAUAGGAACAGAGAGAAGCGUUUUAAUGUGCAAAUGCUGUUCCCCAUUAUUCAUGGAUGUAAAAGCUGAAAACUGA
rnacentral:sRNA from 1 species